AUCUGAUGGCUACUUCCUUCCGCCAAACUGGCUUCCUUUCAGCUGCCUUCAAAUGAUACACUCAGCACUUUGCCUGCGUACAUACACUCUCAACACACACACAGAUCAUUUCCUGGCUUUUGGCUCAUACUUUGUCUCCUGAAGAUGGAAUGCACCACCAUGUCUGGCUCACAUGGUGCUGGGGAUGGAACCCAGGGCUUUGUGUACACCAGGCAAGCAUUCUAUCAUCACCUGAACAGCCCCUACC
rnacentral:lncRNA from 1 species